UCCUUCACCCAAGCAGAGGCUCCUACUGCAGCUCUCAAGCAUGUGGUGACUUUGGAGGUUACCCAGAGCAGGGGAUUAUCCCAGCCUCCUGCCAGGUGGAAGGUGAAACGCAAAGAAUUGGUGGGGAACAAACUGAGGCAGUGAGAGGUCAUGUAUCAUAUUCUGAUCUUACCUAACAUCUGAUCAGACCUCUCAACUUCUCUAAGAAAAGGGGGAAAUGAAGAUGACCUAAAGAGCUGAGCACUGACUACACGCAAAGAUAGCCAGCACCCAUUGGAAUAAAAAUACAGUCACCACUUUUUAUUCAGAGAGAACAGAACCCACAGCAUUGCCAUGGAGACCUUGGAAUUCCUGAAUACCCUGUUGUUGAACCUUUAAAGAUGUAAAUGGGCCAUGCAGAGUGCAUAGCUCUUAUUAAAUUUUGAAUAUACAUACACAUUAAAAUGAGUUAUCAGCUA